GCGGGGAUGGUGGAAUCAGGUAGACACGUACGUUUGAGGGGCGUAUGGGUAACCCCCGUGCGGGUUCAAAUCCCGCUCCCCGCA
rfam:Latescibacteria bacterium DG_63 WOR1_52_54_18, whole genome shotgun sequence.